GAACUGCCAUGCCAGGGAACUCCUUGGAGCUGACUUUGGUGUGCUCGGUCCCUGGGUGCGGUGUGCAGUAGCAGGCGUACUGUCUAGGGGAUGGCUGCUCCGCUUUUGCACCCUGCUCUAGGAGGAGGAGGUGGAUGUGGAGUAGGAGGUUGAGGAGGCGGUGACCGUGGCGGCGACUACGCAUUUGAAUGUCUGCCCUAUCAACUUUCAAUGUUACUUUCUGCGCCUACCAUGUUGACCACGGGUAACAGGGAAUCAGUGUUCGAUUCCAGAGAGGGAGGCUGAGAAAAGGCUACCACAUGCAAGGAAGGCAGCAGGCGCGCAAAUUACCCACUCCCGAUGCGGGGAGGUA